rnacentral:rRNA from 1 species
UCCUACGGGAGGCAGCAGUGGGGAAUAUUGCACAAUGGGCGAAAGCCUGAUGCAGCAACGCCGCGUGAGUGAUGAAGGUCUUCGGAUUGUAAAGCUCUGUCUUUUGGGACGAUAAUGACGGUACCAAAGGAGGAAGCCACGGCUAACUACGUGCCAGCAGCCGCGGUAAUACGUAGGUGGCAAGCGUUGUCCGGAUUUACUGGGCGUAAAGGGUGCGUAGGCGGAUGUUUAAGUGAGAUGUGAAAUACCCGGGCUUAACCUGGGUACUGCAUUUCAAACUGGAUAUCUAGAGUGCAGGAGAGGAGAAUGGAAUUCCUAGUGUAGCGGUGAAAUGCGUAGAGAUUAGGAAGAACACCAGUGGCGAAGGCGAUUCUCUGGACUGUAACUGACGCUGAGGCACGAAAGCGUGGGUAGCAAACAGGAUUAGAUACCCUGGUAGUCCACGCCGUAAACGAUGAGUACUAGGUGUAGGAGGUAUCGACCCCUUCUGUGCCGCAGUAAACACAUUAAGUACUCCGCCUGGGAAGUACGAUCGCAAGAUUAAAACUCAAAUGAAUUGACGG